GACGAACGCUGGCGGCGUGCCUAAUACAUGCAAGUAGAACGCUGAAGGAGGAGCUUGCUUCUCUGGAUGAGUUGCGAACGGGUGAGUAACGCGUAGGUAACCUGCCUGGUAGCGGGGGAUAACUAUUGGAAACGAUAGCUAAUACCGCAUAAUAGUAGAUGUUGCAUGACAUUUGCUUAAAAGGUGCAUUUGCAUCACUACCAGAUGGACCUGCGUUGUAUUAGCUAGUUGGUGAGGUAACGGCUCACCAAAGCGACGAUACAUAGCCGACCUGAGAGGGUGAUCGGCCACACUGGGACUGAGACACGGCCCAGACUCCUACGGGAGGCAGCAGUAGGGAAUCUUCGGCAAUGGACGGAAGUCUGACCGAGCAACGCCGCGUGAGUGAAGAAGGGUUUCGGAUCGUAAAGCUCUGUUGUAAGAGAAGAACGAGUGUGAGAGUGGAAAGUUCACACUGUGACGGUAUCUUACCAGAAAGGGACGGCUAACUACGUG
rnacentral:rRNA from 1 species